rnacentral:rRNA from 1 species
AGAGUUUGAUCCUGGCUCAGAUUGAACGCUGGCGGCAUGCCUUACACAUGCAAGUCGAACGGCAGCACGGGUGCUUGCACCUGGUGGCGAGUGGCGAACGGGUGAGUAAUAUAUCGGAACGUACCUUAUCGUGGGGGAUAACGCAGCGAAAGCUGCGCUAAUACCGCAUACGCCCUGAGGGGGAAAGCGGGGGACCGUAAGGCCUCGCGCGAUUAGAGCGGCCGAUAUCUGAUUAGCUUGUUGGUGGGGUAAAAGCCCACCAAGGCGACGAUCAGUAGCUGGUCUGAGAGGACGAUCAGCCACACUGGGACUGAGACACGGCCCAGACUCCUACGGGAGGCAGCAGUGGGGAAUUUUGGACAAUGGGGGCAACCCUGAUCCAGCAAUGCCGCGUGAGUGAAGAAGGCCUUCGGGUUGUAAAGCUCUUUUGUCAGGGAAGAAACAGCAGCUCUAACACAGUCUGCGAAUGACGGUACCUGAAGAAUAAGCACCGGCUAACUACGUGCCAGCAGCCGCGGUAAUACGUAGGGUGCAAGCGUUAAUCGGAAUUACUGGGCGUAAAGCGUGCGCAGGCGGUUAUACAAGACAGGCGUGAAAUCCCCGGA